rnacentral:lncRNA from 1 species
AUGCAGUGCGUGGUGGAGGGACGGCAGCAAGCUGCUCUUCAUCCCUGCAGGGAAGGAGGUGCAGGCAGCAGCUGGGUUGGUGCUGUGUUGGAUGUGCAAGAGCCCCUGGUUCCAGGCAGAGAGCGGUGGGGUCUGAUCCUGCUCUGCAGCCCGGCCCCACUGCUGCUGCAGGGAAUGGUCCACGCGCUGCCAGGUGGAGAGAACAGGAGGGUCAUGCUGUUAGACAGAGCUGGAGCCGGGCGGCUGGCUGUUGCUGUUGCUCUCAGAAGGGGUCUUGGCAGUGGAGGAGGUAGCCAUGGAGCCGCUGUUCCUGAAGAUGCGGAGGAGCCUCCUCUUAUAGCCUCGGAAGGCAAAGAAGUAGAUGAUGGGGUCGAUGCAGCAGUUGAAGUUCAUGAAUGCCACGGUGACUUGCAGGGACAUCUUGAAGGCCUGCUGCUCACGGCAAGAUGGCUGGUGGAGGAUCUUCCUGACCAUGAACUGGACGAUGUUGAUGUGGUAGGGGCUGAAGCAAAGCAGGAGGGCCAGCAGCACCACCAAGAUGACUGUGAAGGCCCGGCGGUGGUGCCCAUUCCUUACUGUCAGUGGGUUCUCCUUGGCGGUCUGGCAGAGCUUGAGGUUGAUCUGCACGUAGCACGCCAAGAUGAUGCCCACAGGCAGGAAGAAGCCGAGCACACAAGCCACCAGGAGCAGGUAGGGCAGCUUGGGAAUCUCCUCGAAGUUGAAGUACUCCAUGCAUGUCAACUUGUCGCCCAUCUGGCGCGUCAUGGGCCGCAGCAGCAGCGGUGCUGUCUGCAGGAACACCAGGAACCAGACGAGGGCGCAGACAGCCCUGGCACGGCUGACCCUGCGGGUCCUGCCAGGGUGCCUGGUGCGCACCACAGCGACGUAGCGGUCCACGCUGACGCAGGUCAUGAAGUAGAUGCUCACAUAGGUGUUCAUGUAGAAAACAAAGGCGGUCAGCCGGCAGAACCAGUCCCCGAAGGGCCAGUUAAACUCCAGGACAUAGUAGGCGAUCCUGCCAGGCAGCGCCAGUGUGAAGAGGGCGUCGGACAGAGCUAG